AUCCAGCUCAUCCCAGUCAAAUAACCACUUCAACAAAAAAACCUCCACCAACAUGCACAAGGAUGCACUCCUGGGCCUGGGCUCCAUGCAUGUGCCUGCAGAAGAUUAUCUAGUUUCUUGCUCUAUUUCCCACCCCAGUCCCUCUUACCCAGUGCCUUCCCUUCUUCCUUCUGCAGUGUGUAUCCUGCUCCUCAUUAUCAUGGGAAGGGGCCAGCAUUGACCCUAGGAGUGCAGCACAUGAGCCUGGCACCCUGUCAUGCUUGCUGCGACUCUCCCUCCCUUUCCAGGAGACAGGGAUGCCUGGCACUCCACUGGCCAUUUUAAAGAGACAGGACCCUCAGCAUUAUGAGAUCAUGAUCAUGGGGCCAAGCUGGUCCUGAAUACCUUCACCACUACAUGACUUCAGCUGCCGUAGGUGAGAAGGGACAGAAAAUUGGAGACCAUCUGCCUGUACAACUCUAAUAUCCCAGGAAAGCCAAAAGCCAUCCUGAAUGGACCAGAUCUUUCAACAACCAGAUGCAGAAUGCACAGUCUCACUACUCAGGUACUUAUUCAUUUCCAGUUGAUUGAAACAUAAAUACAGGUUUUUAGCCUGAUGAAUCACUUCUGCUAUAUGCUGCAUUUACCUCCAAGGGAGAGGAGGAAGGACAGGAAAUGGUUCUUUCAAUGUUUUUCAAAGACAUAUUGCAUAGAUAUUGAGAACAGAAAGCCACAGUGCCAUGGAGGGGAAAGAAGCUGAACUGUUUAGUGGAUAAGACUCUGAAUUGGGGCUUUGGAGACCUGAGUUCCAUUUCUGGCUCUGCGUAUGACCUUGGAUUGGUCAUUUAAUCCCUUUCUACCUCAGUUUCCCUUCACUCCCUUGUCUAUCAUUACUCCAUAGAUUCUGCUGGCUGAUGCUGGAUAUGUGCGGGUAGCGCCUGGCACAAUGGGAUUCUCUACUUCCCCAAGGCUCUUAGCUGCUGCUGUAAGUCAAGUAAAGAACAGGAAACAAAUGGCGGUUGCAAUGUACUCCAGGUUCAGGUUCCCCAUUCUGUGCGUCACAGUCUCAAAUCAGCUGCAGACACCCAAGGGAGAGUUCCUGCCUAGCAGAAUCUCUGAUCACAUGGAGAUGUGGAGGUGGAGGUGACACAGCCUGAAUGCAAGUAAUUGAAGGGCCAAAGCCAGAGAGAAUCCAAGACUGGUGUAACUGCUUCUCCCUCCAGGGUAAGUGUUACUGCCUUAGGAACAGUCAGACAGAGAUGUUCCCAGUUAGCCUCAGAGACUCUUCUCUACGGUCCUGAUAGGAACCUUCCUAACACCUAUCUGCAAUGACUCCACUUCUGGAAAACACCACCCAACCUGUCACCCACUGAACAAGGGAAAACAAGGGCCACGCCAGGACCAGAUCCUGCACAUGUAAAAUCCCAGGAGUAAGGAAGUCACAGCAGGCAGCAUCGGUACCACAGAAGUCUUGACUUGCAUCUGGAUGUAUCAGGCAAAGAUCUAAUACUUUCAUCCCACCCUGUGCUGCCAAACAUCCUAGGUGUGUCCCCACAAUGCUAUUAUGCUGUUUGCAGUGCCAGAGGUGUGCUGGGUACAUAGAGGCAAAUAUACCUUCUCAUGGAGUUUCCUGAGUUGAGGUACAGGGCAGGUGUGGGCAGAAAAGGGCUACACCCUCCAGAGAGAUUAGCUGGGCAUGAAGCAAAGAGGGAUUUAAACCCAAUGUCACAGCCAUUGAAAGCUGGCCUUUCCCAGCCCUGCCCCUGUUUCUCCUUGUGGCAUCAUACAGUCAUACACACACCCCGCCUCGUAAAAAGUGGCCCGAACCUUUGCACCAGGCCUGCCCCAUGGGAGAGAUAGAGGUGAGGGGGGAAGCGGCUGGAUUCCAUCCCAGGGAUAGUGAAGAGCCCAGCCUGGGAGAGGACAAGGCAGCCACAAAGGGGGCAGGUUUUAUAUUGCCCAGAUAAGGGAGAGAGCCCAGCUGAAAUUCCUAGAUAACCCCUGGCAGAUAUAUGGCUGGUCGACGGAGACCUGCCUUCCCCUCCUCUGGUAAAUUAAAGCAUCCUGGCAAGCAAAGCCCCCAGGAUGUAAAUUACUGAAUCAACUUGGGGAGCAGAGUGGGGCCUGGAGGAGAGGCAGGGGUCUGCACAGAGAUGCCCCCAUGGCUUUAUGUAAACAGGCGGUCAGGCUCACUUCCCCUUUUGCUGCUUCCUUCAACAACUUUUCCCUCAGUCUCCAUUCCCAGAAGACGAGUAAACUGAAUCUCCCUCCUCCUUCCUCCUCACUCUGUCUUGUUGGGGGCUGGUGGAAGCCUAUUAGAGCUCCUUGUGGUCACAGACCUUAAAGACAGCAGAU